UUUUGAUGUUGAUGGUUAGAAUCAACCUAAUUCUCUCUGUUCCGUAUUCAUAGCGGCAAUAACUUGUUGGGUCACACUUCUUCCCUAAUUAAGGUCUCGACAUUCAUUCUUUCCAUCUCGAUGGUUGACUUGUAGUCCCAAGAAGGGACUCAACAUCGCCAUUUAUAGGAAACUCCUACGGGUGUGGUGGUUCGGCCUAAGCAAGAGAGUUUGAAUCUAUUUGAUUUGGAGUUGUUUUAUGUUCCAAUUUUUCACUUUAUGUUUCGUGUUGUUUUCUCUUUUAUUUUCUCUUUUUUUUUUAAUAUUUUGUGUUAGUAAUUUUCUAAUUCAGUUUGCUCACAUAUUAAUGUAAGUAUGCAUAGGUUACCAUCAAUUAACCAUAGUCUACAUGAGCAUUACGUGGUGGAAAAUGAAAUUAAUUAGACUAAUUUUAAUUCAUGAAAUUAGUAUGAGGUAACGUUAAUUAAAUCAUAUUAAUUAUUUUAAUAAUUAAAAUAUGAUAGUGGGAAACAACUGCGACUUACGGCCAUUACAAAGACCAGGAAGUAAUCCGGGAACAGUCCUGCAAUGAAUGCCACUAUUUAACUCCCGCCCAGAAAGUACCGCACGCUGCGAGGAAGUAGAAGAGGAACCCAGAGACUCCUCCGGAAAGGCCGAUUGCCCAGAAGGUUAUAAGACAGAAGCUGAGGGAAAGAACGAUUAAUGCUGGGAUUGAGAUGAAAGAGCGAACGAGAACGUGAAGCAACUGGUGCUUAUGGAAAUUGCUAAGCAUCCUAAUCUACCUUGGGCUCCUCUUGGGGGAAUCAUCAACCUGCCAAAACAUGGUGCCUAGUACAAGUCUGGUGAUGAUUAUCAUCGCUAACCGGAGUUUAUUACUAGCCUUUUGAGGGAGGGUGAAUCUACCAGGGAUGACCUAGAGAAGCAGUUGGCCCGACCCGACUCGCUUAAAAUUUUAAGGGAAAACUACUAUAAAGGUCACUAAACUAUCAAUAAGUUUUCGUUUUGGUCAAUUAAUUUUAAAAAGUUACAAAA